rnacentral:rRNA from 1 species
AUUGAACGCUGGUGGCAGGCCUAACAAAUGCAAGUCGAGCGGAGCGGCGGACGGGUGAGUAAUGCCUAGGAAUCUGCCUGGUAGUGGGGGAUAACGUCCGGAAACGGGCGCUAAUACCGCAUACUAUCAGAUGAGCCUAGGUCGGAUUAGCUAGUUGGUGGGGUAAAGGCCUACCAAGGCGACGAGCCGUAACUGGUCUGCUAGGAUGAUCAGUCAGACGGUAACUGCGACACGGUCCAGACUCCUACGGAGGGCAGCAGUGGGGAAUAGUGGACAAGGUGCGAAAGCCUGGUCCAGCCAUGCCGCGUGUGUGAAGAAGGUCUUCGGAUUGUAAAGCACUUUAAGUUGGGAGGCGUUACCAACAGAAUAAGCACCGGCCAACUUCGUGCCAGCAGCCGCGGUAAUAC